GACGGAGGGUGCUAGCGUUGUUCGGAAUCACUGGGCGUAAAGGGCGCGUAGGCGGCCUUGCAAGUCGGUUGGUGAAAGCCCGGGGCUCAACCCCGGAGGUGCGGCCGAGACUGCAGGGCUGGAGGCCGGAAGAGGAGGGUGGAAUACCCAGUGUAGAGGUGAAAUUCGUAGAUAUUGGGAAGAACACCGAUGGCGAAGGCAGCCAUCUGGACCGACACUGACGCUGAGGCGCGAAAGCGUGGGGAGCGAACAGG
rnacentral:rRNA from 1 species